rnacentral:rRNA from 1 species
AUGGCUUUGGAAGAAAGCGCUAUUACAAGUGGCAUGAUAAAACUUGAUUCUUCCCAUUACUCAUUAUGGAAGCCCGUGAUGGAAGACAUCCUUUAUUGCAAGGAUUUGUAUGAGCCAAUUGUGAAAGACAAGAUACCCACAGGUGUCACGGAAGAAGAAUGGAGAGUGUUGCACAGAAAGGCAGUAGGUAUGAUUCGGUUGUACAUGAACCACAAUAUUUUCCACCAUGUUGCAAAUGACACAAAUGCAUAUGAGAUGUGGCAGAAGUUGGAGUCUAUGUAUGAGAGGAAGACAUCAAUGAACAAGGCCUCGGUGAUCAAAAGACUUGCAAAGCUUGAGUACCGAGAUGGCACAAGUGUGAUUGAGCACUUAAAUGUCUUUCAAUGCCAUAUAAAUCAACUUUCAUCCAUGAAGAUCAACUUUGAGGAUGAGGUGCAAGCAUUGUUGCUUCUGAGUUCCAUGCCUGAUAGUUGGAACACACUUGUUGUGUCACUUAGCAACUCAGCUCCGGAUGGGAAGCUGACUUUGAAGAUGGUGAAGAACAGUAUGCUGAAUGAAGAAGCCAGAAAGAAGGAAAAGGGUGAUGCCUCUUUUUCUGAUGCGUAUGUGGCUGAAACCCAUGGGAAGAAUGAGAACCGUGGACGCAGCAAUACAAGAUUUCAACAAGGCAAAAGCGAAUCCAGGGGGAGAUCAAAGUCAAAACAGAGAAAAGAUAUUACUUGCUUUCAUUGUGGCAAUCCGGGACACAUAAAGAGCGAGUGCAGGAAGUACAAAAGAGAGCUUGCAGAGGGGAAACUCACAAGAAAACCGAGCAAAAGGCUGAGAGCAGUUCAACCAUGA